CGUCACUAGGNUNUCCGCNAAGGUGAACCUGCGGAAGGAUCAUUAAUAGUGCCCUCUGAUGCAAAUCAUUGGGUUAGAUCUGCUCUCUUCGCAAGAAGAGGGUUUCCAUACACACCGUGAACUUUUUCUUCGGCCAUCACAAACUGUUAGUAAUGAAUGUAAUAUCAUAACAAAAACAAAACUUUUAACAACGGAUCUCUUGGCUCUCGCAUCGAUGAAGAACGCAGCGAAAUGCGAUAAGUAAUGUGAAUUGCAGAAUUCAGUGAAUCAUCGAAUCUUUGAACGCACCUUGCGCCCUUUGGUAUUCCGAAGGGCAUGCCUGUUUGAGUGUCAUGAAACCUCACCCCACUUGGUUUUGCCUGAGCGGUGGUGUAUUGGGUGUUGCCUUGCUAAAGGCUCGCCUUAAAGACAUAAGCACCUUGGAUGUAAUACGUUUCAUCCUUCUGGGUGGCUGAUAACCCCACAUAUUCAUGAUCUGGCCUCAAAUCAGGUAGGGCUACCCGCUGAACUUAAGCAUAUCAAUAAGCGGAGGAAAAGAAACUAACUAGGAUUCCCUUAGUAACGGCGAGUGAACCGGGAUGAGCUCAAA
rnacentral:rRNA from 1 species